rnacentral:lncRNA from 1 species
GUAUUUACAGCUGAAGAUUUACAUCGAUGGUUCUCAAACUUCAGUCUGCACUAAUGGAAUAACUAGACUUUUUAAGACACAGAUUCAGAUUACUCGUUCACAAUAGGAGGCAGAAAAGGCAUAGGAAGCAUGGGAGGGUCCCCAGUGAAACCUCGCCUUCAAGUGGAACACAGUUGAAAGCCAAGCUACAAGUUUUCUCUCCUGUUAUUCCAACUGAAAAGAGACCAUAUGACAUUCUACAGAUGGCUGCAGGCAAGCAUCUAAAACCUUUGGGAGAAUACAGCAUACCAGGAAGAUUAUUAUUAUGAAUAUUUGGUGAAUAAUACCAAGAGUUUGGAGCUCCUUACUCAUGGUCCCCACAAGCCAAACCUCCUAGAAUCAAAUAGAAC